ACGCUCAUUCACUUGGGCAGCACAUAUACUAAAAUUGGAAUGAUUACAAAGAUUAACAUAGCCCCUAGGCAAGGAUGACAUAAAUUCGUGAAGCAGUUCAUAUAAAA
rnacentral:snRNA from 1 species